rnacentral:rRNA from 1 species
CAGCAGCCACGGGAAAACGGAGGGUGCAAGCGUUAUCCGGAUUUAUUGGGUUUAAAGGGUCCGUAGGCGGAUCUGUAAGUCAGUGGUGAAAUCUCACAGCUUAACUGUGAAACUGCCAUUGAUACUGCAGGUCUUGAGUAAAUUUGAAGUGGCUGGAAUAAGUAGUGUAGCGGUGAAAUGCAUAGAUAUUACUUAGAACACCAAUUGCGAAGGCAGGUCACUAAGAUUUAACUGACGCUGAUGGACGAAAGCGUGGGGAGCGAACAGGAUUAGAUACCCCGGUAGUCCCUGUCUCUUAUAC